rnacentral:rRNA from 1 species
UACGUAGGGCGCAAGCGUUAUCCGGAAUUAUUGGGCGUAAAGAGCUCGUAGGCGGUUUGUCGCGUCUGCCGUGAAAGUCCGGGGCUCAACUCCGGAUCUGCGGUGGAGUACGGGCAGACUAGAGUGAUGUAGGGGAGACUGGAAUUCCUGGUGUAGCGGUGAAAUGCGCAGAUAUCAGGAGGAACACCGAUGGCGAAGGCAGGUCUCUGGGCAUUAACUGACGCUGAGGAGCGAAAGCAUGGGGGAGCGAACAGG